GGACCUGAAAGUGAGAUUUAAAUUUAUUUCUGCUCGGAAUCGCCUCACAUGAGAACAACGACAAAAAAUCGAAACAAAAUCAACAAUAAAACAACAGAAGUUGAGUCCGCAAACUAGUUGGCGAAACUCGAUUUGGAAAUGGAAAUCCUUAAUGGGCGAACGAGCUCGGAACCAAACCUCAAUUGAAGUCCAUCUAGAACUUUAUUCCCCUCCUUUUGUCAAGAUUUCUGUAUCUCCCAUGAGUAUAUGUGUGACUGUCUUCGUGAAGAAGACGUGGGCUUGGAGCAGUGUUAUACUGGGUUUCUCCGGUGGGUCUCAGAAGGGUGUGGAGUGACGAAGAUGAAGGACAAGGGGUGGUCUCUUUUCUUUUGCCUCCAGCGGCGUCUUUUUUGGUCGAUAUCCUUGAUUAUCAAAUUUUUCAGCGUAUUUUUUUGGUAUCCCCC
rnacentral:lncRNA from 1 species